AAUGAAUCCUUCCAAAUUCAGAGAGGCGGGGCUUCGUUUGAUUGACAGGUGGAAACGAUCACAAGUUGAGGUGGCCAUUUUCGAACACAAGCUGAAUGGCAGUGCACGGCGAUGUUGUAAUCUGAAGUGGCAUCUGUAAAGUCUCCCAGCAAAUUUAAAGGGACAUACUUCUGGAAAUACCAAUACUUCAAAGAACUGGCGGUCAAGUUCAUCUUUAGAGAGGUGUAAAACAUUAAAAAAGUUAAACCUUCAUAGUAACAUGUAUUUGCAAAUAUGUGAUUGUCAUUCAACUUUGCUCAUUCCUUCACUUUUUUUGUGCCUACUGUAUUUAUUGAUGUAGUCUUUGAGGACAGGUAUUGACCAUUGACCAAUACAAUAUCUAUAGGGCAUGUUUUUGACAGGUGUGGAAUUGUUCUGCAUGUUGAAGCGUUUUACCAGUAACGCUCCUGUGCGAUAUUGUUGACCUUGUGGUAGGACCAGAUGGAGAAAUCUGAAUGCGAGUAACCGGCCCAUGAAAUUAGAAAUCAAUACUUUAGAGACUCCGAGGUUGACAUAUGAACUCCAGGGCAUCCCCCCACUACAGCUGUAUUGGAAAAUUGUAUGUGUGUGCUGGAUGUAUUGAAGUCUGCAAACUGUGCAAAUUAAGGGUGAAAGGGACAGAUUUUGGUUGGUUGAUGAUCGCAUGUGUUCAGCACCUGGAGUAGUUCUAUAUCAUUGUGUGAUGACUAUUUUUACUGUCA